GGUUUUUAGUGUGUAGAACAUGGAACACACUCGCAGACUAGUCGCUUUUCAGCGGAAAUCACCGUUUUGAAUGGGGAAAUGUCAUCCACGUGAAUCAUGUAGAUCCAAAGAGUUUAUAUCGGGGGGGAUGCUAAAACGGCAC